rnacentral:rRNA from 1 species
AUGAAUGGUCCUGCUGCUUUCUCGCAUGCGAUUUCUGUUUCUCUUUUUCUUGGACAGCGUUUUUCUCUCUUAGAAUCAUAUUCUGGUCAGGCUACUUGUGCUGUCAAAUUUCAACUAUUUAUUAGGGUUGAUUUCUAUGCCACUAAUGCCUACUGCCUUGUCCACCCAUCCAGCGGCGUACAAGACGCCCUCCUCGAUGCAGCCGUUCCCAACGAGCUCCCUUUGCCGGAAGAGGUGCAGAAGCAAGUCAAGCACCCACUUGGCCCCUGCAUCCUGUCCUACAUUGCCUGCACGAGCUCACUGAUGGCUGCGUCCUCCUUACCUACUAGCGUGGUGAGCCUCUCCCCACUUUACCCCAAAUCUAGAUGA